rnacentral:rRNA from 1 species
AGCUGGCUGGUGCCAUGAGGUGACUUCUGCCCAGUGCUCUGAUUGUCAAUGCGAAGAGAUUCAGCCAAGCGCCGGUAAACGGCGGGAGUAACUAUGACUCUCUUAAGGUAGCCAAAUGCCUCGUCAACCAAUUAUUGACGCGCAUGAAUGGAUCAACGAGAUUCCUGCUGUCCCUAGCCGGUGUCUGGUGAACCAACAACCAAGGGAACGGGCUUGGAAGUGUCAGCGGGGAAAGAAGACCCUGUUGAGUUUCACUCUAGUUCGAUACUGUGCAGCGACAUGUGGGGUGUAGCACUGGUGGGAGGCCAGCGUCAUCAGCCCAGUCACACUUGCAUACAGGAGACCCGCCGUCGAGCGGAACAAGCGAAGAAGGGGGACGCAACGCUCCACCGCCUCGAUUUCGUCCUCCCCCCGCAGGGGGGGCAACCCAGGUGACACCCCACGGGGUCGCUUCCGAAGGCGAGGAGCCAUUGGUGCAAACCAGCAGUGAAAUACCACUACCUUCACCGUCGCUUUACUCAUCGGGUUGCCAGGGAACGGAGGCCAUUUGGACAUCGACUCGCCCACAUUCCACACUGGGCGAGCCGUGGACCCUCUCCGCUUCGUGCACAAAGCGUGGGCAGCCCGCUGCCCGCGUGACCCUGUAGCCGCAAUCCGACCAUCAGAGGCCUCGAGACACCGAUCAGUUGGGGAGUUUGGCUGGGGCGGAACGCCUGUUACAGGACAACGCAGGCGUCCUGAAGCAAUGCUCAGAUGGAACAGAUAUCUCCCAGGGAGGAGAAGGCCAAAGGUGCUGCUGAUGUAGCGACUUUCAGUGCAAGUCCAAAAUAUGCAAGUGUGGCCAAAGGAUCCUUUGGUCCAGUGCACAGGGUUGGGACACCAAAGCCAGAGGUGUCAGAAAAAUUACCACAGGGAUAACUGGCUUGUGGCGGCCAAGCGUUCAAAGCGACGUUGCUUUUUGAUCCUCCGAUGUCGGCUCUUCCUAGCUUCCCACCUGCAGCCGAGUGGAAGGGUUGGAUUGUUC